rnacentral:pre_miRNA from 1 species
AUAAUACUCCCUCCGUUCCAAAUUACUCGUUGCAGAAAUGGAUGUAUCUAGAACUAAAAUACAUGUAGAUACAUCCAUUUCUGCGACGAGUAAUUCGGAACGGAGGGAGUACGUA